UCAUGACAGUUGUGCUGUUUUGAGAAAUUUUCUAAUUGUAAAUAAAUAUGAAUGUUGAAUAUGAAAAUCUUACAUCCAUCAUCAACUCAAUGCAUGUAGUGCUUUACUAUGUUUUCCCUCUACAACUCACAGUAUCAGCAUUCCUCCUUGACUUCUUUAAUCUGCACAUUAAUCCUACAUAUCACACUAAUGUAAACAUGCUGGUACUCUCUAAAUACUUCCACACACUCACAGGCUCUUUUGACUUUGCAGAGCUGCUGCUGGGACAGAGGCACUGCAGCGGAGAGAGAGAGAGAGAGAGAGAGAGAGAGAGGGGUGGUGGAGCUGUGAGUUGCAGCUGAGGAGGGUUUCCGGAUUGUCCUGGAGCACAUUUGGCCCGUGACCUGGAAACCGAUCGAACUCAGCCAUCUUGCAGGGCAUCUCAAUUCUCCAAUUGCACUGCGAGGAGGCGAGGAACGAGUAGCGAGAAAGCUUUCUGAGGAGUCAUGAGCGAGGAUACACAGGUGUAUACACAGGUGAAAGGAAACGAGGAUGCUCAAAUAAGAAAUGAGAAGCACACUCAGUCUCUUCCUCAUAUUGGAGGAAGAGCCCAAUCAACUGCUCUAUGGCCUGCCAUGUCUUAAAGCUAAAUCAUGUCAGCCAAGAGCAAAGCAAAUAAACCAGAACUGGACCUUAUCUGAGCCACAAAAUCUGUAUAUAUUAUAUAGAGUAAUAUCAGCGUUAACAAGCCUAACAAGCAGAAUCACUGAAGGAAAGAAGAGAACAGAUGAGUAGAAACACAACAAAUACAACUGACUUUCAGCCACAGCCAACUGCAAAUAAAAGAACACAUUAAUGGCUUGUUCCACCGAGCCAUACGGUUCAGUACAGUACAGUACAGUACAGUAUGGUAUGCAUUUUUUGCUGUUUCCAAGUUGUGAAUGGUACCCUAAUUACAUACUGUACCACAUUUUUGGGACCCUUACAUUGGGGUACCUAGCACAAUAGUACCAAUAGUACCUGUACCAAAAGGCUGGAGCUACACUCACUGCAGAAUGUUGAUUGGUUGACAGAGAAUCGUCACUUGCGUGUGUUACAUGUUACAAUGACAUCACACUACCAUUGCAACACAAUGGCUGUGUCCGAAAACUGGAAAAUGAUGCCUUCAAAGGACACGUUUCAAGGUAGGAAGGCAUCAAAGCACGUCCGAAUCCAAGCAUCAUUUCCUGUUUCUUGAGCUACCUUCAUCUGAUCGAUUUAUGAAGGCAGCAUAUGUAUCCUUUGCUGCCUUUGCUAUCCUACAAACCUGUAUUCUCCAUUCUUUGACAGUUGAGCUAGAAAAAUAAAGAUGGCGUCCGAAAGUUGCGUUUGCUGGUCAGUUUGUGUGUAAAUGUGUUUUUGGCCAACAUUUUCCACUUUUGAUGUCAUUUCUAGCGAGAAAUUACUACUAUAGUAAUUAAAUAUUUGUUUAGUUCUCACCAAAGUUGCAAUGCUUACAGUUUAAUGAUUUUGCUGUUGAUCAUUAAACUCUUACGCUGCCUCAGAAGUCUGUCCGAAAUCAGUUUCGUGAGGUGCCUUCAUGCACAAACGCUGCCUUACAAGUCAGCUGCCUAGGUUUUCGGUUGCAGCCCCUGUGUAUUUUUCUGGUGUUUUUCCUUGCAGCCUUCAGCCUUGCUUAAACAAAGCUGCUGUAUGUCCUCCAUUGUUGUUUACUGUCACUCUCUUCUUCACACGAGAAUGACGUUGAUCGCUACUUUCCGGUGUUGUGUGAACUCCUACCGUCGCCAAAUUAUUACACCUAUUGGUUGGUUUAGAAUUAGGCUAGUUGUGGGGGAGGGGUUAGGAUUAGGGGUGGAGUUAGAAUUAGGCAAUCAGAUAGAGACUUCAAUGAGGGGGGUAAAAAUUUGACAGGGAGUCGAAAUUCGGCACAACACCUGCAUACACCCCGCCUAGUAUAAAGUUAGGGUACUGUUACCGGUGGAAACGCAAGCCGGAUCAGGGUUUACUGACCCAAGUAAACAGUGCUGUAGGCUACUGUACUGAACUGAACCCUACCGCUUGGUGAAAACGAGCCAGUAAGUCUCUCAAGAUCGGCUAUCGGCUAGAGGAUGACUAAACCACUCCAAAAAAAAAAAAAAAAAAAAAAAGGAAAGGAAAAAUAAUUAUCAUUUACUUCAGACUUAUUACAAACCAGUUUGACUUUAUGUCUGUCAUACAUCUACAAAAGUUCAAAAGAACGAACAGGGGUUUAUCUCCAGAUAAUGUUAUUGAGUUUCAUUUUUAGUGUAUGCUUUAGUUGGGCUCUUGAAGUUAAUUUUCUUUCAACAAUUCCAAUAGUGUUUUAUUAAAGGCACUUGUUGUUACAGGAAUAGACUGAAGAA